CCAGGGGGUUGCAGAGUCGGACAUGACUGAGCAACUAGAAAGUGUAAAAGAGUGUAAUCUGCCAGGUCUAAAACACCACCUCCAGAUACCUGCUCCUGCCCUUUCGGUUCUCAGUGCAGAGUGGAAGGCAAGCACAUGCUCCUUGGAAUGAAGGACAGAUUCCCAGGGAGGAGCUGUGACAUCAGAGGACACCAUGCUGUCAGACUCUCCUCACAACAAGCCAGGCCAGCCUUGGGAAGGGCCCCUGAUGCAUACCUCUGCAAAGAGUGAGACUGCCCCUUUAUCUGCAGGCUUACCCAAACUAGAUGUUUAAAUUUAAAAAAUCUGUUAUAUAAGCAAUUAAAAUAUGCUGUCUCAAUUAUAAAUAAAAC
rnacentral:lncRNA from 1 species